AACUUUAGGCGGUGGAUCACUCGGCUCGUGCGUCGAUGAAGAACGCAGCCAGCUGCGUGAAUUAAUGUGAAUUGCAGGACACAUUGAACAUCGACAUUUUGAACGCAUAUUGCGGCCAUAGGUCCGUCCUGUGCC
rnacentral:rRNA from 1 species